rnacentral:rRNA from 1 species
GAUGAACGCUGGCGGCGUGCUUAACACAUGCAAGUCGAACGGAAAGGCCCCUGCUUGCAGGGGUACUCGAGUGGCGAACGGGUGAGUAACAAGUGGGUGAUCUGCCCUGCACUUCGGGAUAAGCCUGGGAAACUGGGUCUAAUACCGGAUAGGACCACAUCUUGGAUGGUGUGGUGGAAAGUUUUUCGGUGUGGGAUGAGCUCGCGGGCUAUCAGCUUGUUGGUGGGGUAAUGGCCUACCAAGGCGUCGACGGGUAGCCGGCCUGAGAGGGUGUACGGCCACAUUGGGACUGAGAGACGGCGCAGACACCCACGGGGGGCAGCAGUGGGGGAUAUUGCACAAUGGGCGCAAGCCUGAUGCAGCGACGCCGCGUGGGGGAUGACGGCCUUCGGGUUGUAAACUCCUUUCGCUAGGGACGAAGCGCUUUUGUGACGGUACCUGGAGAAGAAGCACCGGCUAACUACGUG